rnacentral:rRNA from 1 species
ACAGCAGUCGCCGCGGGAAUACGAAGGGUGCAAGCGUUACUCGGAAUUACUGGGCGUAAAGCGUGCGUAGGUGGUGGUUUAAGUCCGUUGUGAAAGCCCUGGGCUCAACCUGGGAAUUGCAGUGGAUAUUGGGUCACUAGAGUGUGGUAGAGGAUAGUGGAAUUUCCGGUGUAGCAGUGAAAUGCGUAGAGAUCGGAAGGAACAUCUGUGGCGAAGGCGACUAUCUGGGCCAACACUGACACUGAGGCACGAAAGCGUGGGGAGCAAACAGGAUUAGAUACCCCCGUAGUCCCUGUCUCUUAUAA